rnacentral:lncRNA from 1 species
GGGGCUGCGCGCCGCCGCCUCGGGGGAGUCUCGGGGCUCCUCAACCGAGGCGGCAGCGGCGGCGUGCUUGCUGCGGCCGGUGGAGAGGGUGAGGGGAGAGGGAGGGGGAGGGGCAGGGGCAAGGGCCGGUGGGCCGGCUGCGCAGGUGGGCCAGCCCACCAGCGGCCAAUUUUUUUAUUAUUUUUUAUUUUUCUUAUAUGAUGUACAUGAUGUAUACUUUUAAUUAUUAAUUGUCCUAGAUAAAUGUAUAUAAUGUUUUAUUUUUCUUAUAAUUAUUAAUUGUCCUAAAUAAUUAUUAAUUGUCCUAAAUAAUUGUUCUAAAUAAAUUAUCAAUUAUUUUAUAAUGCAAUUAUUUAUAACACAAUUAUUUACUUUUAGUUUAAGUGUCUAUGUAUAUACAUUAUGCAUAUGCAAUUAUUUAUAAUGCAAUUAUUUAUAAUGCAAUUAUAUAUAAUGCAAUUAUAUGUAAUGCAAUUAUAUAUGCAAUUAGUUUAAGUAGUU